rnacentral:lncRNA from 1 species
UCAAACUCCCGACCUCAACUGAUCCACCCAAAGUGCUGGGAUUGCAGGCGUGAGCCAUGGUGCCUGGCCUCCACCACUUUAAAUGAGCUUGUGACUACACGGCCAGCAAGACCGGGCCAAAUUCAUCAUCAGCAGAAACGUGCAUCCUUGAUGGAAGCAGCGGCUGGGGGGCUGGUGUACGUGCUGAACGGACACUUAUGGUGUGUGGAGUGAUUCAUCACUGGAACGAAUUUCAUGUUUCUUCUUCCUUUUUAAAAUCUUGCUUUUAGAAAAUGCAUGAUUCUGUAUGUGGCGUGUACUGAGUUUCCGCUGGACGGUGCUGAACAGGGAAGCUGAUUUAGGUGGGGAAAGACACUAUGAAUGCCGUGAGGACGAUGCUGCUACCUUGGUCCAGGCCCAGCAUCUCUUCAGUGUGCAUACGAGGCAGCAGAGGAGCGAAGGACCCAUGCCUGAUCUGAUGCUUGGCGCAAAAUAACACAAGCAAUAGCUCAAGCGUGCCUGCCUCUGUGUCCAGCGAGCCUUGGAAACAGCUCACACCUCCAAGGAAAAGACAUCCUCAGGCCAUGCCUUCCACACAGUCCUAAGGAGAGGACAGGUAGAAUAAAGGAAGAUCUGCAGUGGUGGUCCACCACCAGCGCGCGACAUCGGAGACUGUCGGGAAAGUCGGGGACUGUCGGGGACGGUUGCGGACAGUCAGACACUGUCGCGGACUGUCAGGGAAGAGACCUGUGGCUCCCGUCUGUUCGAGUUCUCUGGGGUCCACACACCUGAGAGCUGGCUGUGGACAAACAGACAGUGGACAUUUCACAUACAGAUGUCGUGGGGUGGAGUCAGAGAGUGAUACUGUGGACGGGACAGGAUAGAGUCGCUUCUCGGUAUGUUAUACUGACUGAAAAGGUCUUAGGUUCUGUCAGGCCCACAGUGAGGUGUGGAAGAAUAAACCAAGGGCUGUCAUAAAGUCAUCGCUUAUCCAUGAGCGAUGAGAUGAC